rnacentral:misc_RNA from 1 species
CCGAGUUAGGGUCCUUUUGGCCCGACCUCCAACCCUUUGUUUAUUAUACCAUGUUGCUUUGGUAGGCCUGCCUUUCGGGGCUGCCGGGGGCAUCACUGCCCCUGACCCGUGCCUGCCAGGAGCCUUCUUAAAUUCAGUCUUUAACUGUGCUGUCUGAGUCCUAAUAUCAAAAUAUACA